AAGUCGUAACAAGGUCUCCGUUGGUGAACCAGCGGAGGGAUCAUUAUAGAGUUUUCUAAACUCCCAACCCAUGUGAACUUACCUUUUGUUGCCUCGGCAGAAGUUAUAGGUCUUCUUAUAGCUGCUGCCGGUGGACCAUUAAACUCUUGUUAUUUUAUGUAAUCUGAGCGUCUUAUUUUAAUAAGUCAAAACUUUCAACAACGGAUCUCUUGGCUCUG
rnacentral:misc_RNA from 1 species